GAUGAACGCUGGCGGCGUGCCUAAUACAUGCAAGUCGAGCGAACGGACGAGAAGCUUGCUUCUCUGAUGUUAGCGGCGGACGGGUGAGUAACACGUGGAUAACCUACCUAUAAGACUGGGAUAACUUCGGGAAACCGGAGCUAAUACCGGAUAAUAUUUUGAACCGCAUGGUUCAAAAGUGAAAGACGGUCUUGCUGUCACUUAUAGAUGGAUCCGCGCUGCAUUAGCUAGUUGGUAAGGUAACGGCUUACCAAGGCAACGAUGCAUAGCCGACCUGAGAGGGUGAUCGGCCACUCUGGAACUGAGACACGGCCCAGACUCCUACGGGAGGCAGCAGUAGGGAAUCUACCGCAAUGGGCGAAAGCCUGACGGAGCAACGCCGCGUGAGUGAUGAAGGGCUGCGGAUCGUAAAACUCUGUUAUUAGGGAAGAACAUAUGUGUAAGUAACUGUGCACAUCUUGACGGUACCUAAUCAGAAAGCCACGGCUAACUACGU
rnacentral:rRNA from 1 species